UGUUGGAUGAAGGCCUCCUCAAGUUGUCUUUGUCGUUAAAGGUUGUUUGACCACACUUCAUUUGAUGAAGUAGGUGCCCAGAACCGUUUCAGAUAUUACUCGCUCCGGAUGUCAGCCAGGACCCGUUAAUCAACUCAGGUUAACGGGUAAAUUUCUACAGUGCGCUAACCACUGCAGCAACACUGCCCUCCCCUGUAGAAUGUACAGUGGUAUGAAUGCGCAGAAUCCACAGCGGUAAGACUCAAUCAUUCUAAGAUUUGUAACGCGCGGCCACGUUCAGCAAGAAGGCGAGACGAGAGCACGUAGGCCGCCGAGGAAAAGUAACGUAAAUUAAACUCAACAGAAGAGAAAAUUAUACGGUCUUAAUCCGGUCUUAAAAAGCACCGAUAGUCACGGCUGAGCGGGCUUCAGUCGGCAGACACCGCUCCAGGUCACGGGGGCUGCAGAUGAAGGGCUCCGUUCUGACGGCCGAAGCCGAAUGGAUCUCGCGUACAGCAGCCGGUCCAGAACGGCUACGCGUAGGUUCCGUACACAUGAGGCGGAAGGCAUCGCUCUGCUAAGGUUCAUGGAAAGGCAAUCUGAAGUGGGAAUUGCAGCACCGCUCCUAAGAACGAGGCGCUCGAGAAGAACGGACUGAAAAGAGACGCUCUUUGCUGGAGGAGGAGGAAGAGGAGGAGGAGAGGUGUAGGGAGGAAGACGAUGAGGAGAGAAGGAGGAUGAACCAUGUGGUUGGUCAGCAUCUUGUUGUAUCUCCUGGUGACCCUACAAGGUCAUGGGGCCACGUUUAGGCCUCAAGAAGACAGCUUCGUGACUGUGCCUGCACUGGACUCCUCCGGCUGCCCGAUUACACGCACACACACACACGCACACAGCGACUCUGGAAUGAAUGCAACGCCACCACCGCCAACGCCGCCGCCGCCGCCACAACCACCACCACCGGCGGCAAAGAAACUCGGAGUGAGGAGCGUUCCGUACUCUGGCGGGAGCAGGUGGGAUUCCGCAAGCAGUGAACCCUAACAACUUGCCACCUCCUGUCAAGUGCUAUGUUCCACAUUUCAAAGCAAAGACUGCAAAAAGGGCCAGGCGCACUCGUCGCCGUCGCUCACUCUUAACACCGCCAACCGAACGAGGCGGUGUGAGAUCCCAGCGUCGAGCCCGGCUGCCGUUGUCACAGUGGGCGAUGGCGCAGGGGAGACAGCCAAAGGCACGCGCCUAAGCUCCCCCGUCCCGUCCCGGCGGUGCGGGCAAGACGGAGCGCGUGCCGCAUACCUGCGUGGCUUCCAGCGAGCCUCGACGUGGCUCUCCGCUCGCGUCCCGCGACUCCCAGCCCGUAUUUGGUACCAACAGAGGAGUGGCGUAUGGGAAGAUGCACCAUCUAGCGUCGAUUCAAAUGCAUUACCUAAGUGUGCCGAUGCGCAGAACUUUAAAAAAUACAUGAAUAAAGGAAAAUAUGUUCAUGUUGUUUUGUGAACAACACAGAAUUCAAAGUGAUUCACCGAACUCAUCGUUGAAACCGAAACAAUUCUUGUGAUGUGAUCUUUUCCGACCAAAAAGCGGUGCACACGUUUUGCUGCCGUGACAGUUCAGAUUAAAAAUGUCUUCACGUCACAACACCAAAAUCAAUGAGUUGAAAAAUACGUCCUUCUCGGACACAAGGCCGACUAUUCGCGCAGGCCGCUGUAAAUGUUAGACACGGGCGUACGUCACCGUCGCAUGACACUAUGCCAAUCGUACAAUUGGAAAUAACGAUUGCGAGAUGAAAAUUAAUAAAUGUAUACAAAAAAGGAGCGGUAGUACAGGCAACAACCGGUAAUACAAAGCAGCAGGGAGGGAACAUCUCAAACAAGCCACAGCAGCGGGCUCGCUAUUCAUUACAACAAUCACUUUGCCAUUUGUCACGUAAGCUGUUAAUGUGGUUGGAGGUGAACGGAGGAAUGUGGAGAUUAAAGGUAAAUUCCCCGUGUAA